GAUGAACGCUAGCUACAGGCUUAACACAUGCAAGUCGAGGGGAAACGACAUCGAAAGCUUGCUUUUGAUGGGCGUCGACCGGCGCACGGGUGAGUAACGCGUAUCCAACCUGCCCAUCACUUGGGGAUAACCUUGCGAAAGUAAGACUAAUACCCAAUGAUAUCUCUAGAAGACAUCUGAAAGAGAUUAAAGAUUUAUCGGUGAUGGAUGGGGAUGCGUCUGAUUAGCUUGUUGGGGGGGUAACGGCAAACCAAGGCAACGAUCAGUAUGGGUUCUGAGAGGAAGGUCCCCCAGAUUGGAACGAAGACACGGUCCAAACUCGGACGGGAGGGAGCAGUAAGGAAUAGUGGUCAAGGGGCGAGAGCCUGAACCAGCCAAGUAGCGUGCAGGAAGACGGCCCUAUGGGUGGUAAACUGCUUUUAUAAGGGAAUAAAGUGAGAGUCGUGACUCUUUUUGUAUGUACCUUAUGAAUAAGGACCGGCUAAUUCCGUG
rnacentral:rRNA from 1 species